UGUAACGUAUUCAAAGCAGAAUUUUAACAAGAAAGUCACACAAAAGUUUGCUGUGUCGUGCCGAAAUUAAAUAAAUUAGUAUAGCAAAAAGUACAGACUGUGUGUACAUUGCCAUCCAGUUGGCUUUGGCCAGCCUGCUAAGCCUUUGAAAAAAGUUACAGAAAAGUUACACCCUCAAAAAAGGAUUACGAAUGGCAAACUUGAGGAUUACCGUCACUCGGAUUCACUUUGAAUUCCGUUUCGUCUUAUUAUUUAUUGAUGAGUUGUUCAAAUCACCAACCACCCACAAUGACCUGACACGGCUAAAACCAUGCAACUAGUAUUGGACGUCAUGUUUUUUCAACCAUAAUUGGAUUUCAGUCUGCAGACAACGAAUGCGAGUCUCCGAAAAAAACGAACAGGAAACUCGCUCGGUGGAUUGUCUCAAGGUCGUGCAACGUGUGAAAAUAUGGUGGGAAGAGGGAAAACCCAAAAUGCAAAGUGACAGUUUUAUGGCCUGCUGCGUUCUUCGUGUCACAUUCGUGUUCUUAGUAUGCACGCGCUUCAGACAGUUUGUCACGAUGAACUCCGAAACGCUUCGUCGCCUGCUUGGAUAUUGUGUGCAUUAUAUGGAGGGUGAAAGUGACACCGGAAGCCUACUUUGAGUUAUUGAGUGAGGUGUUGUUGAUACUUUCCGGAAAAAAAAAUGCAAUUUUCACUUGUUAAGAUUAAAUUUGAAGUAGUUCAUUGAAAUUUGUUCAAAACACAUCCAUUUCCACUUGUGAAAUAUUCAUCGUCGACCUAAGCCAGAAUUGAUUUUCAAACUUUGUCCUGCUUGUUUGUUGAUUCUGUUGCCUCUCCUACGGCGAGCACCCAUCGAACGUUAUUCAACCCUGUGCUUCGGAGAAGAGCCAUGAGAUAUUCAUCAAACGAUGGAACUUUUGCCAACUAUCACAAACAUUCACCCGGGCGGCACACAAACUCACAAACUCACAUGAUAGGGCAUUUUAGCACAGGACGCUUUCGUAGCAUAAAGAAAAGAGUCCAUCCCUGCGGCUUUUCCAUGUCAACGCUGCUGGGGCAGUUCCCAGCGAGAGAGUUUCCACGUGAUAAUUAAUGCAGUUCUUGCCCUGCUGGCAGUCAACUAGUCGACCAAUUAGUAAAAUUGCUUCCAACCAUCCAGUCUCCUGAUGCGGUUUGGUAAAGUGCAAAGUAUCCAUAACUGACGAAUUACCCUAAUGGACCCGGAAGUUUUCCCAGUGAAAGAGCAGGGCCAACUUUGUUGACAUGGCACUUGUGUGCGCCUGUGAUCGCUGGCCAGCGUUGAUGAUGGAGAUAAAAGUAUUGGCAGCUAUCGGUUAAGUAUCAUGUGUUCUUAAAGUAUGGAAACCACCCACUGGAUAACGGGUAAUCGAGACCAAGGUUUAUAACCCAAUGGCAGAUACUCAUCAGGUCGUCAUCCAAACCGAACAGAGAAAUUGGACGUUCACAAUAGGAUCCGGAAAAAUAAAUCGAUAAAUUCCAUAAUAACGAUUAUGGAUACGGACAGAAGUUGGCCGAUUUCGUUUCAUUUUAAUGAUUUAUUUGUCUUUUAGAUCGAUCCAACAAUGCCGUUCUCUUUUCAAGACACAAGGUCCAACUUGACUUCAUCAUAGUUAAACAAUAUAUCAGCAGAUUUUAAGCAUAUUUUUAUUCAUUUUGUUUAGGUCAAAUAAAGAAUGUUAUCAACGAAAAA